GAUGAACGCUAGCGGCAGGCUUAAUACAUGCAAGUCGAGGGGCAGCGCGGGUAGCAAUACCUGGCGGCGACCGGCAAACGGGUGCGGAACACGUACGCAACCUUCCUUUAAGUGGAGAAUAGCCCGGGGAAACCCGGAUUAAUACUCCGUAAUAUUAUGAAGUGGCAUCACUUUAUAAUUAUAGAUUUAUCGCUUAAAGAUGGGCGUGCGCCUGAUUAGGUAGUUGGCGGGGUAAUGCCCACCAAGCCUUCGAUCAGUAACUGGUGUGAGAGCACGACCA
rnacentral:rRNA from 1 species